ensembl:misc_RNA Y_RNA Y RNA
GGCUGGUCUGGAGGUAGUGAGUUAUCUCAACUAAUUGAUCACAAUCAGUUACAGUUUUCUUUGUUCCUUCUCCACUCCCACUACUUCACUUGAACAGCCAUCC